AGUGAAGGAGCAACUGUGCAUCCUUUGCAAUGUGUACGCGCUGUAUCUUGUUCACAAGCAUCUGGGUGACUUCCUGUCGACGGGGAGCAUCACAGCAAGGCAGGGAGCGCUGGCAAACGAGCAGCUGGGAAAGCUGUAUGCGCAGGUGCGGCCGAACGCGGUGGCGCUGGUGGACGCGUUCAACUACACCGACCACUACCUGGGGUCGGUGCUGGGGCGCUACGACG
rnacentral:misc_RNA from 1 species